CCCUUAGAUGUUCUGGGCCGCACGCGCGCUACACUGAUGCAUUCAACGAGCCUAUCCUUGACCGACAGGUCCGGGUAAUCUUUGAAUCUGCAUCGUGACGGGGAUAGAUUAUUGCAAUUAUUAAUCUUCAACGAGGAAUGCCUAGUAGGCGCAAGUCAUCAGCUUGCGUCGAUUACGUCCCUGCCCUUUGUACACACCGCCCGACGCUCCUACCGAUUGGGUGUGCUGGUGAAAUGUUCGGAUCGGCCGUUUGUCGCGGUUUCCGCGUCAUGUGGCUGAGAAGUUCAUUAAACCCUCCCACCUAGAGGAAGGAGAAGUCGUAACA
rnacentral:rRNA from 1 species